rnacentral:rRNA from 1 species
CCCUUAGAUGUUCUGGGCGGCCCGCGCACUACAUUGGCACUCUCAAUAAGUUCCUAGAUCUAAAACUUUGGGGUAUUCUAUUAAGUGGUGUCGUGACCGGGAUUAACCCUUGCAAUUAUUGGUUACGAACGAGGAAUUCCUUGUAAUCGCGGUUUAUCAGCCCGCGUUGAAUGCGUCCCUGCCCUUUGUACACACCGCCCGUCGCUCCUACCGAUGAAUCGUCCGGUGAAGUUCAUGGAGUGGUGGUUGUUCCAGCUGCUGUCGAAGUGAAAUGGACCUCACGAUUGAGAGGAAGGAGAAGUCGUAACA